UGCAAGCCCUGCCAUGCAUUGGGGUAGAUG
rnacentral:piRNA from 1 species